rnacentral:tRNA from 1 species
GGUGGUAUAACUCAAUGAUAGAGCAUUUGCUUAGCAUCUAUAAGGCACUGGAUUCAACCUCUAGUAUGUGAAAAAAGAAACACUGUAGAUAAAUGAAAAUGAAAAAGAUGUUUGGGCCUCAGGAAGUUAGGGGAGAAACACAUAGAAAUGAAAAAUGGAACAGAAAACAAAAAUAAAAUAGCAGGGCUGGGGAUAUAGCAGUCAUAGAGUGCUUGCCUCAUAUGCACAAAGCCCUGGGUUCAAUCCCCAGCACUACCA